rnacentral:rRNA from 1 species
GGGUCAGUAGGUUGGUCGUGCCACCGGUACGUACUGGUCUCACUGAUCCCUCCUUCCUGAAGAACCGUAGUGCCAUUAAUUUGGUGUUGCGGGGAAACAGGACUGUUACUUUGAAAAAAUUAGAGUGUUUAAAGCAAGCUAACGCUUGAAUACAUUAGCAUGGAAUAAUGAAAUAGGACGAUCGAUCCUAUUUUGUUGGUUUCUAGGAUUGACGUA